GACACUCACUAGUACGCGAAGCUCAUCACAGUCACAGGUGGAUGAAAGUUGUGAAAAUUGAUCAGGUACAAAGGAAUUUGGUGUUUCUGUUUCGGUCUGAUGUAUUUGGAUGGUAAAAUAUGUUGUUGGUAAACCGUUAUGAGUGAUGUAGAGUAAUAUGUUCUCUGUGAAACGAUUGAAUAUUUUCAUAGCCAUUUUCAAAACGUGAAGUCAGAUGUACGGCAACUCAGUUGCAUAGAUGUCCUUUUUUGCCAAGCAAAAUGGUUUAUACCUAAAUCCUUGUGGCAUGAAAACAUGAUGUCAAUAUUUAUUUAAUUUGAUGUUAAAGAAUUUACAUUUCCACCAUGAUGCAACAACAUGACACUUUACAGAUCAUUGUCCGAUUUUUGUGACAAAUUGUCAUUUCUCAAUGAUUAGACAAAUUCCCUGUACAUCAAGUUAAAUCAAAGAAAUAAUGGAGCUCCAGGGAUUACAACUGUUGAUCUGUUUCAAAUAGCUUGGCUGAUAUGAUUUUUGUUCAAAUUCUUUCUAAUUCAGUUUUUAACAGAGCCAUGGAAACACCUUAUGUUGCCAAAUUUGAUAGAUCAUUGUAUUCUCGUUCCUAGUGUUGGCCAAUGACUAACUAGCAACCGAGUCAUUUGAACCUGAAAACAUUGCAGUUGGUGUAAGAUAGCAAUUAAGUUUCGUUUUGUUGUUACAUCAUUUUCUUUAUUUCAGAUUAACUUUUCACAGUUAAGUUAUGCUGAAUCUCCAAGAUAUUGAAGAGCCCAUAAAAUCAAAUUCUUUGCUGCCACUUUUUUUUAGUGAAAAAUGAGAGAGAAUGCAGCCACUAAGAAGGUUGCCACUACUUGAGUUCUAAUUUAGGCUGAUAUAAGAUUGAUUGAUUAUAUCGGUAUUUCUUUCGGUUGCAACAAUCUGGUUUGACAUUAUUGUCAUCUAAUAAUUCUUUCAUCAGGUUAGUCCCUUGCUGCUGUUCCACAUCCAUAUUUUGGACUUGAUAUGUUUUGGAAAGUGACUUUUCCUUAAAAGUUUCCACAGGUUUUUUUUAACAGGCUGGUGAAGUCUUAGCUUCUUCAUUGCGUAGAGGUUGCGUGAGAACGGGACGUGUUUCAUCAUAAUCAAGUAAGUCAAUAGCCGCAAGUUGCAGAAGGAAAGGGUUGCAUGUCCAUCCUGCCCGAAGGUCACGGAGAUCAUUUCGUAAAACCUGUCAUGCAGUGGUGUAGAGGUUCAUGGGUGAGAACGGGCGUGUUUCACAUCAUCAUUAUUAAGCAGGAGAGAGAAAAAAAGGUAGAAAUCAGUCGAUUGAGGAUCUCCGACACGGACACGUCAACAACUGCAGUGAAUUAUCUGUCACUAACUGCAUUCCUCAUCGUGUAACCAAAUCGCAAUCAUGGCAGGUACAAUUUCCGCACGGCUCGAGUUGAAAGGUGAAUCACGAAAAGGAAAAACUUAUUAAACGAGAGAAAUGUCGAUAAAACUCAAUCAAAUGAGCAUCUCCGACAUGGCAAAUUGGCAACUUCCAGUUCGCAAUUAUGGGCAAAUAUUCUUACUUUUUUUUAUUUAGUUAUGUAUCAAUCCCAUUUGUCUCUUUUAGUUAGUAUGCCAGUUAUUAUUGAUUAUUAAUGUGGAAACUAAUUUCUCGGUUAACCAUAGCGUCGUGCUGCUGUUGGGUGUUGUAUCGUUGAUGACUGGGUCGACCACUGGUGUACCGAUGUCUUCUCUUGGUAUGGCGGAUACCAAACUGCAACGCCGCCGCCUUACUACCCAAAAGCAACUCACGCUACGACCAGUUACUGCGCCGAGACCCUUAAGUACUACACCACUAAGGUACUGGUGUAUUAUACCACAACUUAACUGCCCCCAGCUACUACCCUGACGCCCCGAAGUAUUACUCUGCCCCCAGCUACACCAACAAGGUACCGGGGUACUACACGAAUACGUAUGCUGCCCUAACCUACUACACCGAGGCUCCCAAGUACUACUCUGUCCUCAGUUACUUACUACACCGAUGGCUAAAGUAGUACUACUCUGUUCCCAGCUACUACAACGAGGCUCCGGCUGAUUACUAAACCAAAACGGUAGCUAAAAGCCUAGCUACAACACCGAAGCUCCCAAGUACUACAUCAAAGAUAUCGCACAUUACACAAGUCAACCACGUCCGCCGCCCCAGUUUACUUCACCGAGGAAUCCAAGUAUUACUCUGCUCCAAGCUACUACCAAACUGAGGCUCAUAAGUACUACACCAGCAAGGUUCCUGAGUAUUACACCCCUACUUACGCUGCUACGACCUACACAUCGAAGUUCCAUAGUAUUCCUAUGCCCUGAGUUACUACACUACUAGAGCACCGACAAAUUACAACACAAUCUUUCUUCUUCGUAUGCUGUUCCGAAUUUCCGAUUGUUGCUGUCCAAU
rnacentral:lncRNA from 1 species